GACGAACGCUGGCGGCGUGCUUAACACAUGCAAGUCGAACGGAAAGGCCCUGCUUUGGUGGUGUGCUCGAAUGGCGAACGGGUGAGUAACACGUGAGUAACCUGCCCUUGGCUAUGGGAUCACUUCGAGAAGGUGGAGCUAAUACCAGAUAGGAGCUCCUGCUGCAUGGUGGGGCUGGGAAAGGUUCGGCGGUUGGGGAUGGACUCGCGGCUGAUCAGCUUGUGGGUGGGGAAGUGGCUUACCAAGGCUUUGACGCGUAGCCGGACUGAUAGGGUGAGCGGCACGAUUGGGAUGGGGCUGAGGCCCGGACCACUCCGGGAGGCGGCGCUGGGGAAUGUUGCACUAUGGGCGGAAGGCUGAUGUAGCAAAGCGGCGUGGCGGAUGAGGGCAAUCGGGUUGUAAACCGCUUCCGUCUGUGACGAAGCGUGAGUGACGGUAAUGGGUAAAGAAGCCCCGGCUAACUACGUG
rnacentral:rRNA from 1 species